rnacentral:rRNA from 1 species
AUUGAACGCUGGCGGCAUGCCUUACACAUGCAAGUCGAACGGCAGCAUGGAGAGCUUGCUCUCUGAUGGCGAGUGGCGAACGGGUGAGUAAUGCAUCGGAACGUACCGUGUAAUGGGGGAUAACGUAGCGAAAGUUACGCUAAUACCGCAUACGACCUGAGGGUGAAAGCAGGGGAUCGCAAGACCUUGCGUUAUACGAGCGGCCGAUGUCAGAUUAGCUAGUUGGUGAGGUAAAGGCUCACCAAGGCGACGAUCUGUAGCGGGUCGGAGAGGAUGAUCCGCCACACUGGGACUGAGACACGGCCCAGAGUCCUACGGGAGGCAGCAGUGGGGAAUUUUGGACAAUGGGGGCAACCCUGAUCCAGCCAUGCCGCGUGAGUGAAGAAGGCCUUCGGGUUGUAAAGCUCUUUCGGCCGGGAAGAAAUCGCACAGGCUAAUACUCUGUGUGGAUGACGGUACCGGCAUAAGAAGCACCGGCUAACUACGUGCCAGCCGCCGCGGUAA